rnacentral:pre_miRNA from 10 species
UGGGUCUGUGUGUGUGUGUGUGUGUGUGUGUGUGUGUGUGUGUGUGUGCGCGCGCACGCACACACGCGCGCCACUCUCUG